rnacentral:lncRNA from 1 species
UAGAACUUAUAAACUUGGGCAAACUAGUUAGUCCAAUUAUUUGUAUUGGGCAAUUCAACCACCAAAAUCAAUUUAGAAAAUUGGUGUAAGCCUAAUUCCCUUUCACUUCUUAUUCAAUCUAUUCAGUUGCAACUUAUACCAUAAUAAAACAAUGCGGAUGGUAAUGAAAACAAGCACCCUUCUCCUUCGUAGGUAAUGAUUAUAGUUAUUGUAGUACUCAAGAUACAUCUUCUUUGAACCCAUCUAAAAAAAUGCAAGGUAAUUAAAAUGUACACUCGACAGACUAAUGGAUUUAGGAAUUGUUUAAACCAAUCUAUAAAAAUACAAUCUAACUGCUUGUGCUCACGUACCUUGAGCAGUAGCAAACAAGGGUCUCCUGGUGCCCUCAGCUUGCAACAAGUCCAUGAAAAAGAUGAAGAAAAUAUUAAUGAUGGUCUCCUACUAAAUAUGAUAUAUUGCAACUAGAAAUCUAUUACAGCAAGGUAAAAAUCAUGUUAUCUAGCUGCAGCAAUUGAAAUAAAAGCAAAUCUGAAAUAGUACUCGAUUUAUCAAAUGCCAAAUACCGAUGUGUGGUCGGACUACCACUAACAGCCAUGUGACCAGACUACCUAAGCUCAUGGCAACCGGCCAGAUCUAGGACAAACAGCCAUGGCAACCGACCAGAUCUAGGACAAGGCGUUAGAAGACAACUACGACGAGAAGGCACUACGGCGCUCGAUCCCUCUGUUGAGCUGAUUCACCACGCGGUCUGAUGCUAGCGCCAGCAACCACCGACCAGGCGAGGCCGCAAUAUGAGAUGAACUGAAGGACGAAACACAGGAGAGGAGGCAUAAUGCAGAUUGGGAACGAGCUCACCUUCUGAUGGCGGUCGACGGCCAGCAACAGAUCCAAUGGUCCAAGCGUCGGAGUUGCGGUGGAGGUGCUAGGGCCAGCACUAGCACCCUGGAGAAGUGUGGCAGGUCUCAGGUUUGUGGCGGCUGAAUCAGUAGCCGCAAG